AAGUGUCUAAAGGAUAGGUUGCCGAUUUUAGAAAAACCUACUAAAUUAAUGAUUGGGAAUCUAAUUGAUAGAUGGUGUUGAAUACUUAAAUUUAUUUAAGGCUCCUAAUAUCUAUCAUGUGAUGCCCACCUGGGAGAUCAGGUUUUGAUCAUUAUAGGUACUUUCCUUUGGACCUUUU
rnacentral:other from 1 species